rnacentral:rRNA from 1 species
CAGCAGUGAGGAAGGUGGUAGUGUUAAUAGCACUAUCAUUUGACGUUAGCUGCAGAAGAAAGCACCGGCUAACUCCGUGCCAGCAGCCGCGGUAAUACGGAGGGUGCGAGCGUUAAUCGGAAUUACUGGGCGUAAAGCGCAUGCAGGUGGUUUGUUAAGUCAGAUGUGAAAGACCCGGGGCGUCAACCUCGGAAUUGCAUUUGUAAACUAGGCAGACUAGAGUACUGUAGAGGGGGGUAGGAAUUUCAGGUGUAGCGGUGAAAUGCGUAGAGAUCUGAAGGAAUACCGGUGGCGAAGGCGGCCCCCUCGGACAGAUACUGACACUCAGAUGCGAAAGCGUGGGGAGCAAACAGGAUUAGAUACCCUGGUAG